UUUGAAAUCUGGCGUCUUUGGCGUCCGAGUUGUAAUUUGCAGAGGGCGCUUUGGCAUUGGCAGCGGUCCAAGUUCCUUGGAACAGGACGUCACAGAGGGUGAGAAUCCCGUACGUGGUCGCUAGCCUUUACCGUGUAAAGCCCCUUCGACGAGUCGAGUUGUUUGGGAAUGCAGCUCUAAAUGGGAGGUAAAUUUCUUCUAAAGCUAAAUACUGGCCAGAGACCGAUAGCGCACAAGUAGAGUGAUCGAAAGAUGAAAAGCACUUUGGAAAGAGAGUUAAAAAGCACGUGAAAUUGUUGAAAGGGAAGCGCUUGCAGCCAGACUUGCCUGUAGUUGCUCAUCCGGGUUUUUACCCGGUGCACUCUUCUAUAGGCAGGCCAGCAUCAGUUUGGGCGGUUGGAUAAAGGUCUCUGUCACGUACCUCCUCUCGGGGAGAACUUAUAGGGGAGACGUAAUGCAACCAGCCUGGACUGAGGUCCGCGCAUCUGCUAGGAUGCUGGCGUAAUGGCUGUAAGCGGCCCGUCUUGAAACACGGACCAAGGAGUCUAACAUCUAUGCGAGUGUUUGGGUGUCAAGCCCGAGCGCGUAAUGAAAGUGAACGGGAGGUGGGAACCUUUCGGGGUGCACCAUCGACCGAUCCUGAUGUCUUCGGAUGGAUUUGAGUAAGAGCAUAGCUGUUGGGACCCGAAAGAUGGUGAACUAUGCUUGAAUAGGGUGAAGCCAGAGGAAACUCUGGUGGAGGCUCGCAGCGGUUCUG
rnacentral:rRNA from 1 species